GCUCAUUCAGCUGUAUCAUGAGAAUCAGCUAAACAGUCAAACUGGGGCAUCAAAAAAAAAAAAAAAUAUAUAUAAAAAAAAAAAAAGAGAAGAGGGUGAAAAAGAUGAAAAAAUCAAAAAUCAGGAAAAUUUUUUCAAAAAUUUUCCAAGAGAAAAAAGAAAAAAUUAUACCCUCAAGUCCCUAGUUGACUGAAGCUGAAUGGAUUCAGAGUCGUUACGACCAAUUGAA
rnacentral:lncRNA from 1 species